rnacentral:lncRNA from 1 species
GAUCUGCAAAAAGGGAGCAGAAAUUAAGGGCGGGGGUGUGUGUAGGGCGCAGGUACUAAAAGAUGUGGUCCCCCUUCUGGCCACAUGGCACAGUGCCCAGUCCAUGCAACAGAUGACCGUUCAAAAAUGAACGAGGGAGCGAGAGAAUGAACGGAUGCAGGGCCCCUGGCUGGGAGCUGAGACCACAAAUUCAAGUCCCAGCCCCCUGGCUGACCCCCCUCCCAUGACCUAAUCCAAAAGGAAGGGAAGGAUGAAGUCAUUUCUGGGAUCCUUCCAGCCCCGACCGACCGUGUCGUUUGUAUCGGCACAGGAAAAAGAAAGACUAUUUAUGCCGUCAUCCUGCUGAACUUGAGCAGGGAAGUGUCCGCCGCCCCCGCCUGCCGCCUGCCUGCCGACUCAGGCUGCUUCCAGAUCUGUCUCCCUUCUGCUGCCUGCUGUCCCCUAAAUGGCUCCAAAGCAACCCCUGUGGACAGGCCGGGCUGCGUUCACUGCUUCCCGCGGGCAGAGACGGCACGGCCUCCACCCAGCCUCAGCAGCUUCUCAAAGCCCAGGGCCUCGCUGGGGUGCUGGCUGAGGUUCGGGUUCUGGAUCCAGGCAGCUCUUUGGUUAGGACAGGUCGUUAGCAGGGAGCUGGAUCAGAGGUGGAGCAGCAUCGAAGGUGGUGGCUUUACCCCUGCGACAGAGCGCCAGCCCCGGUGUUGGACACUUCAAAGGCCAGCGCAAGGUAGGAAUAAUGUCCAUUUCACAGAUGGGAAAACUAGGGGCCCAGGGAGCUCUGUACUCGUCAAAAGUCCCGCUCUUGGGAGGUGUCGGACACGCUGUCCCAGCUGUGUGCCCUGCCGGCGAGAACUUCCUGGUGUGUACCUCCGUUUGUGUCCGUCUGUUCAUUCAUGCAGGGUGAAUCAAUACCGUGACCAUUUGCUCUGUCUCCCCGCAGAGACUAUGCCUAGGGCAAGCUUGCUGUGGAUAACGGUGAGUGUAAACCCCACAUUUCAAAUAGUCUUCUUGAAGAUUUUUCUUGUUUUUUUUUUUUUGGCCCAAUUACUUGUCAGAUGUGAUUAG